GAUGAGUUCCUGCAAACAAGCCCUUCUAAGCUGUCUGGAAGCUCCUAAUUUAUAACAGAGCUUUAUAAAAUGCUUUAUUUUUACUUUUUUCUGUGCUUGGGGUAAGAGUAGUAGACUGGGGACAUCACCUUACUGUCCAGCAGCAUCAGCAACAGUCUUAUAUUGAAAUUUGAAGUCUGCUCUUGGAGAUCAAACUUCUGCAAAAAGAUGAAGCACACCUUCUGUUUCAAAGGACAGCAGGUUAGACCUCUCCUGACAUCCAAACUUUGUGUUUACUGGAGCUGGUGUGUACUUUGAGCUCACGAGUUGUCCUUAAGCUGCUGCAGUUAUUACAGUGGUGUAUUACCUUUCAUUCUACCCACCAAAUCUCUCAUGGCUCAUUUGGCCUGCACUGUGAUGUUCUGUGAGAUUGUUUUCAUUUCUCAGUAACUUAUAUCACAGAGUGUCUCAGGUUUAGCCAUAACUCUAUUUUCACUGACAGGCUCCUCUCUGCUCUUCCUUUUGCAGCUGGCUCUUGAGGAGAGCACUCAUAAAGCAUGGACACUUAGGAUCUCAAUUUAAAGAACCUGCCAAAUUACACCUUCAAAUAGGCAUGAAGGCAGGAUCACACGUUGAAAGCAGGCAGUAGAAUGGUUUAUUUUUACAAACAGAGAUAGACCAGGAGGGUCACUUUCAUGUAUAAUAGUAGGACUUCU
rnacentral:lncRNA from 1 species